AGCGAACGCUGGCGGCAGGCCUAACACAUGCAAGUCGAGCGGCCGUAGCAAUACGGCAGCGGCAGACGGGAGAGUAACACGUGGGAACGUACCUUUCAGUUCGGAACAACCCAGGGAAACUUGGGCUAAUACCGGAUACGCCCUUACGGGGAAAGAUUUAUCGCUGAAAGAUCGGCCCGCGUCUGAUUAGCUAGUUGGUGGGGUAAUGGCCCACCAAGGCGACGAUCAGUAGCUGGUCUGAGAGGAUGAUCAGCCUCACUGGGACUGAGACACGGCCCAGACUCCUACGGGUGGCAG
rnacentral:rRNA from 1 species